GUUUCAUCUCACCGUCCUCUUUGUGAAUGGGCUUUUAGGGACGAUGACGCAGGGAUUAGCCAACCUUUGAAAGAAGCCCAUCCCAAAUCAUUUACAAGACCAUGGCAUCUGAUCUACAUUCCAUGUAGGCUAAAUCCAAUGCCAUAGCCUACCGAAUGACCUAGCUACAUACAAGUUUGUCGGUUUUCUCAAGUUUCUAAUGCCCUCUUACACUCCACUGUCGCUGUCCUUAGUUUAGUGCUGAAAGUUCCGUUCCAAACAAUCAGCAGCGAAACACAAAUGCAGCUGUCUGUCUUACCACGUACCCGUUGGCGGAGACAAGUGGGACAGACCAACCGAUGCCAGCGGUCUCAUUUGCUGGGCAGUGACCUGCUUGGACAGGCACAGGCCACGAGAGCCGUGAGAAAGGGCAUCAACAUAUCUCUCAGGAGAAUAAGGGCAGCUGACUGCCCACAGCGGGUUCACGAGGACCCAUCCCCGCCACGGCUUACCCUCCCAACAGACACCAGUGGCCC